rnacentral:lncRNA from 1 species
GCAUGGCCUUUGUUGUUAUAACUGAACAGAGUCCAAAGAAGGAAAAAAGGCAGGCCCUGAUCACAAGGAGUUCAAAGCUUAGGGUCACCACUGGGCCCCCAGGGGGCUCUCUGGGGCAGACCUCCGCUCCAGGCCACUCGGACACCUUGUCGCCCAAGCCUGCAGGGCUCGCUGCAGCUCCCGGCCUUUGUCCAGCUGGGUUCCCUGGGUCGCAAGGGCCUGCACAGAGACCCGGCCGCACUCUUCCCACGGGAGGCCUUUCCAUCCUCACUGUCUCCGCCAGGCCCCCAGCCCUGCGUGUGUUUUCUCUCUGUAAUGCUCCCUGGUGCUCUAUGGUGUGUGUACCACAUGCUCAACACUGCUGGGGGCUGGGCUCUUCCUGUUGCCCCCGUUCUGCCCGCAGCUGGACAAGGCAGCCGCCCUCUCACUCAUCACAGGUGGAAACCCAAGUCGGAGCCUGCAGGUUCCUGACCACCCAGCAGUGGGGGCUGGGCUCACCUUCGAUCCUGACUCUUGCCCCAGCACUUUCUGCUCAGGGCUGCCCACUUGGGCCUUCUGAUAAAGGAAGAGAAUGAAGGAGGCCGAGGGAGCAGACCCAGCUCUGAGGAAGCAGACACCCAGUGAAUCCUAAAAGGAAUCAACCCUGAUUAUUCAUUGGAAGGACUGACUGAUGCUGUAGAUGAAGCUUUGAUACUUUGGCCACCUGGUACAAAGAGCCGACUCACUGGAAAAGUCCCUGAUGCUGGGAAAGAUUGAAGGCAGGAGGAGAAGGGGAUGACAGAGGACAAGAUGGUUGGAUGUCAUCACUGACUCAAUGGAAAUGAGUUUGAGCAGGCUCUGGGAGCUGGUGAUAAACAGGAAGGCCUGGCGUGCUGCAUUCCAUGGGGUUGCAAAGAGUCUGACAUGACUGCGCGACUGAACAACAAUCAGGCC